rfam:Mycobacterium litorale strain F4, complete genome.
GUCGGGAUACUGACCGGUGAAGAUGGUCGGUCGGCUCGGGACGCA